rnacentral:tRNA from 1 species
GUGCCAGUAGCUCAGUGGUCAGAGCAUCAGCCCGACGAGCUGAGGGUCGGUGGUUCGAUUCCACCCUGGCACA